rnacentral:rRNA from 1 species
GAUGAACGCUAGCGGGAGGCCUAACACAUGCAAGCCGAGCGGUAUGGAUAGCUUGCUAUCCAGAGAGCGGCGCACGGGUGCGUAACACGUGUGCAACCUACCUUUAUCUGGGGGAUAGCCUUUCGAAAGGAAGAUUAAUACCCCAUAAUAUAAUUGAUGGCAUCAUUGAUUAUUGAAAACUCCGGUGGAUAGAGAUGGGCACGCGCAAGAUUAGAUAGUUGGUGAGGUAACGGCUCACCAAGUCAAUGAUCUUUAGGGGUCCUGAGAGGGAGAUCCCCCACACUGGUACUGAGACACGGACCAGACUCCUACGGGAGGCAGCAGUGAGGAAUAUUGGACAAUGGGUGAAAGCCUGAUCCAGCCAUCCCGCGUGAAGGAUGACGGUCCUAUGGAUUGUAAACUUCUUUUGUACAGGGAUAAACCUACUCUCGUGAGGGUAGCUGAAGGUACUGUACGAAUAAGCACCGGCUAACUCCGUGCCAGCAGCCGCGGUAAAAC